CCUACGGGAGGCAGCAGUGGGGGAUAUUGCACAAUGGGGGAAACCCUGAUGCAGCGACGCCGCGUGUGGGAAGACGGUCCUCUGGAUUGUAAACCACUGUCCCCAGGGACGAAGAUGACGGUACCUGGGGAGGAAGCUCCGGCUAACUACGUGCCAGCAGCCGCGGUACUACGUAGGGAGCGAGCGUUUUCCGGAAUUACUGGGGGUAAAGGGAGCGUAGGCGGAACUGCAAUGUGGGUGUCAAAUCUACCGGCUCAACCGGUAGCCGCACUCAAAACUGCAGUUCUUGAGUGAAGGAGAGGCAGGCGGAAUUCCUAGUGUAGCGGUGAAAUGCGUAGAUAUUAGGAGGAACACCAGUGGCGAAGGCGGCCUGCUGGGCUUUUACUGACGCUGAGGCUCGAAAGUGUGGGGAGCAAACAGGAUUAGAUACCCCAGUAGUC
rnacentral:rRNA from 1 species